CACGUAGGGGGCGAGCGUUGUCCGGAUUUAUUGGGCGUAAAGAGCUCGUAGGCGGCUCAGUAAGUCAGGUGUGAAAACUCCAGGCUCAACCUGGAGACGCCACCUGAUACUGCUGUGGCUAGAGUCCGGUAGGGGAGCAUGGAAUUCCUGGUGUAGCGGUGAAAUGCGCAGAUAUCAGGAGGAACACCAGUGGCGAAGGCGGUGCUCUGGGCCGGAACUGACACUGAGGAGCGAAAGCGUGGGGAGCAAACAGG
rnacentral:rRNA from 1 species